GUGCCAGCAGCCGCGGUAAUACGGAGGGUGCAAGCGUUAUCCGGAUUUACUGGGUUUAAAGGGUGCGUAGGUGGGUCUGUAAGUCAGUGGUGAAAUCUUCGAGCUUAACUCGGAAACUGCCAUUGAUACUAUAGGUCUUGAAUCAUCUGGAGGUGAGCGGAAUAUGUCAUGUAGCGGUGAAAUGCUUAGAUAUGACAUAGAACACCGAUUGCGAAGGCAGCUCACUACGGAUGUAUUGACACUGAGGCACGAAAGCGUGGGGAUCAAACAGGAUUAGAAACCCGUGUAGUCC
rnacentral:rRNA from 1 species